rnacentral:rRNA from 1 species
GGUCAAGAAGAGAAGCGCAAACGGUGGAUGCCUUGGCAGUAAGAGGCGAAGAAGGACGUGGAAUCCUGCGAAAAGCUAUGGGGAGCUGGAAACGAGCGUUGAGCCAUAGAUGUCCGAAUGGGGGAACCCGGCUGCAGUAAUGCGGUCAUUUGCAUUUGAAUACAUAGGAUGCAAAGGCGAACUCGGGGAACUGAAACAUCUAAGUACCCGAAGGAAAAGAAAUCAAGAGAGAUUCUCCAAGUAGCGGCGAGCGAACGGGGAGGAGCCUGGCGUGAUUUAUUAUUGAAUUGAGUAGAACAACUUGGGAAGGUUGGCCAUAGAGGGUGAAAGCCCCGUAUACGAAGGUUUGAUGAGGAACUAGGCACGCGAACAAGUAGGCCGGGACACGUGAAAUCCUGGUUGAAGAUGGGUGGACCAUCAUCCAAGGCUAAAUACUACUUACUGACCGAUAGUGAACCAGUACCGUGAGGGAAAGGUGAAAAGAACCCCGGAGAGGGGAGUGAAAUAGAAUCUGAAACCGUUUGCGUACAAGCAGUGGGAGCAUGGUUUAGGCUGUGUGACUGCGUACCUUUUGUAUAAUGGGUCAGCGAGUUACUUUCAGUGGCGAGGUUAACUGCAUAAGGGAGCCGUAGAGAAAUCGAGUCUGAAUAGGGCGAUAGUCGCUGGGAGUAGACCCGAAACCGGGCGAUCUAGCCAUGUGCAGGAUGAAGGUUGGGUAACACCAACUGGAGGUCCGAACCGGGUAAUGUUGAAAAAUUAUCGGAUGACGUGUGGCUAGGAGUGAAAGGCUAAUCAAGCCCGGAGAUAGCUGGUUCUCCCCGAAAGCUAUUUAGGUAGCGCCUCGUGAAUGAUUACUGGGGGUAGAGCACUGUUUCGGCUAGGGGGCUGUCAUGGCUUACCAAACCGAUGCAAACUCCGAAUACCGGCUAAUUGGAUCACGGGAGACACACGGCGGGUGCUAACGUCCGUCGUGGAGAGGGAAACAACCCAGACCGCCAGCUAAGGUCCCCAAGUACUAGUUAAGUGGGAAACGAUGUGGGAAGGCAUAGACAGCCAGGAGGUUGGCUUAGAAGCAGCCACCCUUUAAAGAAAGCGUAAUAGCUCACUGGUCGAGUCGGCCUGCGCGGAAGAUGUAACGGGGCUAAAACUAGUCACCGAAGCUGCGGAUGUGCGCGAAGGCGCACGUGGUAGGGGAGCGUUCUGUAGGCUGAUGAAGGUGCAUUGAGAGGUGUGCUGGAGGUAUCAGAAGUGCGAAUGCUGACAUGAGUAACGAUAAUGUGGGUGAAAAGCCCACACGCCGGAAGUCCCAGGUUUCCUGCACGACGUUAAUCGGAGCAGGGUGAGUCGGCCCCUAAGGCGAGGCUGAAGAGCGUAGUCGAUGGGAACCAGGUUAAUAUUCCUGGACUUUUUAUAAGUGGUGAAGUGGGGACGAAGAAGGCUAGGUGAGCCAGGCGUUGGUUGUCCUGGUACUUGCAUGUAGGGGGGAAGACUUGGCAAAUCCGGUUUUCCGAUACUCUGAGGUGCGAAGUGGUUCUGACCUUUUGGUACAGAGAAGUCAUUGAUGCCCGGCUUCCAGGAAAAGCUGCUAGCCAU